UUGCUCCGGUGGAUUAGUGGCGAACGGGUGAGUAACACGUGAGCAAUCUGCCCUUGACUCUGGGAUAACUGCGGGAAACUGUAGCUAAUACCGGAUACGACCCUUGGAGGCAUCUCUGGGGGUGGAAAGAAUUUCGGUCAAGGAUGAGCUCGCGGCCUAUCAGCUAGUUGGUGAGGUAAUGGCUCACCAAGGCGACGACGGGUAGCCGGCCUGAGAGGGUGACCGGCCACACUGGAACUGAGACACGGUCCAGACUCCUACGGGAGGCAGCAGUGGGGAAUAUUGCACAAUGGGCGAAAGCCUGAUGCAGCAACGCCGCGUGAGGGAUGAAGGCCUUCGGGUUGUAAACCUCUUUUAGCAGGGAAGAAGCGAAAGUGACGGUACCUGCAGAAAAAGCACCGGCUAACUACGUGCCAGCAGCCGCGGUAAUACGUAGGGUGCAAGCGUUGUCCGGAAUUAUUGGGCGUAAAGAGCUCGUAGGCGGUUUGUCGCGUCUGCUGUGAAAAUCCGAGGCUCAACCUCGGACCUGCAGUGGGUACGGGCAAACUAGAGUGCGGUAGGGGAGAUGGGAAUUCCUGGUGUAGCGGUGGAAUGCGCAGAUAUCAGGAGGAACACCGAUGGCGAAGGCACAUCUCUGGGCCGUAACUGACGCUGAGGAGCGAAAGCGUGGGGAGCGAACAGGAUUAGAUACCCUGGUAGU
rnacentral:rRNA from 1 species